rnacentral:rRNA from 1 species
UGGGGAAUCUUCCGCAAUGGACGAAAGUCUGACGGAGCAACGCCGCGUGUAUGAUGAAGGUCUUCGGAUUGUAAAGUACUGUCAUUGGGGAAGAACGGUUUUCUUGAAAAGAUUGAGAAGACAUGACGGUACCCAAGGAGGAAGCCCCGGCUAACUACGUGCCAGCAGCCGCGGUAAUACGUAGGGGGCAAGCGUUGUCCGGAAAUUAUUGGGCGUAAAGGGCGCGUAGGCGGGCCUUUAAGUCCGGUGUGAAAGAUCAGGGCUCAACCCUGAGAGUGCAUCGGAAACUGGAGGCCUUGAGGACAGGAGAGGAAAGUGGAAUUCCACGUGUAGCGGUGAAAUGCGUAGAUAUGUGGAGGAACACCAGUGGCGAAGGCGACUUUCUGGACUGUAACUGACGCUGAGGCGCGAAAAGCGUGGGGAGCAAAACAGGAUUAGAUACCCUGGUAGUCCACGCCGUAAAACGAUGAGUGCUAGGUGUAGAGGGUAUCGACCCCUUCUGUGCCGCAGUUAACACAAUAAAGCACUCCCGCCUGGGGAGUACGGCCGCAAGGUUGAAAACUCAAAAUGAAUUGACGGGGGUCAUAGCUG